rnacentral:rRNA from 1 species
AUGUCGGAGCUCAUGAGGAAGCCGCGUGCGCUGAAGACGGCGCAGGAGGAGAUCAGGGCCGCGGUCGGCGGCAACGGCAACGGCAACAUGGUGCAGCCAGACGACCUGCCGAAGCUGGCGUACCUUAAGAUGGUGGUCAAGGAGACUCUACGGCUGCACCCGCCGGCGACGCUGCUGCUGCCGCGGGAGACGCUGCCGCGGGUGGAGAUCGGCGGCUACGAGGUGCCGGCGGGAACGCGGGUGCUGGUGAACGCGUGGGCGGUCGGGAGGGAGCCGGCGAGCUGGGGGCCGGACGCGGAGGAGUUCGAGCCGGAGAGGUUCGAGGCGGGCGGGAGGCACGGCAAGGUGGUCUUCCGCGGGGCGCACAUGGAGCUGGUGCCGUUCGGCGCCGGGCGGCGGAUCUGCCCGGGGCUGGCCAUGGGCGUGGCGAACGUGGAGUACACUCUGGCCAACAUGCUGUGCGGCUUCGAGUGGGCGGUGCCGGAGGGGGAGGAGGUGAGCAUGGAGGAGGCCGGCGCGCUGAACUUCCACCGCAAGACACCGCUGGUGCUCGUGCCCACCCCAUACGCACCGCCGGCGUGUGAGUGCUAG